rnacentral:rRNA from 1 species
GACGAACGCUGGCGGCGUGCUUAACACAUGCAAGUCGAACGAUGAACCCGGAGCUUGCUCCGGUGGAUUAGUGGCGAACGGGUGAGUAACACGUGAGUAACCUGCCCUUGACUCUGGGAUAACUGCGGGAAACUGUAGAUAAUACCGGAUACGACCCUCGGCGGCAUCGCCAAGGGGUGGAAAGAAUUUCGGUCAAGGAUGGACUCGCGGCCUGUCAGCUAGUUGGUUCGGUAACGGCUCACCAAGGCGACGACGGGUAGCCGGCCUGAGAGGGUGACCGGCCACACUGGGACUGAGACACGGCCGAGACGCCUACGGGAGGCAGCAGUGGGGAAUAUUGCACAAUGGGCGCAAGCCUGAUGCAGCGACGCCUCGUGAGGGAUGACGGCCUUCGGGUUGUAAACCUCUUUUAGUAGGGAAGAAGCGAAAGUGACGGUACCUGCAGAAAAAGCACCGGCUAACUACGUGCCAGCCGCCGCAGUAA